AUUGAACGCUGGCGGCAGGCCUAACACAUGCAAGUCGAGCGGAUGAAGGGAGCUUGCUCCUGGAUUCAGCGGCGGACGGGUGAGUAAUGCCUAGGAAUCUGCCUGGUAGUGGGGGAUAACGUCCGGAAACGGGCGCUAAUACCGCAUACGUCCUGAGGGAGAAAGUGGGGGAUCUUCGGACCUCACGCUAUCAGAUGAGCCUAGGUCGGAUUAGCUAGUUGGUGGGGUAAAGGCCUACCAAGGCGACGAUCCGUAACUGGUCUGAGAGGAUGAUCAGUCACACUGGAACUGAGACACGGUCCAGACUCCUAUGGGAGGCAGCAGUGGGGAAUAUUGGACAAUGGGCGCAAGCCUGAUCCAGCCAUGCCGCGUGUGUGAAGAAGGUCUUCGGAUUGUAAAGCACUUUUAGUUGGGAGGAAGGGCAGUAAGUUAAUACCUUGCUGUUUUGACGUUACCCACAGAAUAAGCACCGGCUAACUUCGUG
rnacentral:rRNA from 1 species